AGCUUUGCGCAGUGGCAGUAUCAUAGCCAAUGAGGUUUAUCCAAGGCACAAUUAUUGCUGGUUAUUGCUAAUUGAAAACAAGAAUUAUUUUACAUUGUCUGGUG
rnacentral:snRNA from 1 species